UCAAAAUGGUGAAGCGCCAUAAGCAAGCUAUGGUGGCGCAAAACGUCUUCGUGUUCGCCAAAAAGACAACGAGCCCAGGAGUUGUGGAACCGGAUCUACCAGCUGGAGUCUGAAAAAUUCGACUACAUGGAGCAUAUAAAACACCAGAAAUACGAGAUUAUCGUGCUGCUCAACAGAAUCCAACACGCUCAGAAAUUUAAAAAGGGACACGGUAAAGGGAAGGUGGGUGGCCGCUGGAAGUAGGAGUGAAGAACCGUCAAUCCAAACCAAACUUUUCCCCAUCGUGGUAAGAAGAAGUGCAAGAGCAGGAAUCUUCAAUCUGUACGAGCGUUGUGGCUUCUCUGUGCGUGAGAAAGAUUGUUUUUGGGGGGGGGGGGAUUUUUUUUCACAAUGUUAUUGUAAUAAAACAUGCUCUCUGUGAGUUG